rnacentral:piRNA from 1 species
GCUCACCAAAAGGUGACUUCAGCCGAGGA